rnacentral:rRNA from 1 species
UUUAAUAGACGAACAGUCUACCUUUAUAAACACCUGCACCUACAAGGAAUCUUAAUCCAACAUCGAGGUCACAAACUUAAUUAUCAAUAAGAACUCUCCAAUUAAAUUAUGCUGUUAUCCCUGUGGUAAUUUAUUCUAUUAAUCAUUAUUAAUGGAUCAAAAAAUAAAUAUUUAAAUAAAAAUAUAUUUUGUUUAACUUAAAUAAUCGCCCCAAUCAAAUAUUAUAUAUUAAAUAAUAUUUACUAAAUAAUUAAUAAAUAUAAAUAUAAAACUCAACAGGGUCUUCUCGUCUAUUUUAACUAUAUUAGCAUUUUUACUAAUAAUUUAAAUUCAUCCAUACAAAUAAGACAGAAUUUCCCUUGUCAAACCUUUCAUACAAGACUACAAUUAAUAGCCUAAUUAUUAUGCUACCUUAACGCAGUCAAUAUACCGCGGCUAUUUAUAAUAUACAUUGAGCAGGCCUGAUUUUAUAUAUAAUAAACAUAAAACC